GACCUACAAAGUCUUUUAACAACUAAUGUCUUUUUAACAGAUUUAUGCUGCAUCAGGUGGAUCCAGUCACAGAGCAGCAGUCAGAGCUCCAGUUCACAUCCUGGAGUCAACCAGAAUGAAACUAACCAAUACAGCUCUCCUCUCCACGAUGCAGAUGAAUCCAGAGAUGUCACAUACUCUCUUAUUGAACUGAAACAAUUUGGGAAAAAGAGUGAGUUACACCAACACACACACUGUUUAAAGGAGGAAAAACAGCUCUGAAGGUUUUGAGCUUUGUGUGUUUUAGUGGAUGAAUGUGAGUGUGUUAACAGGGAGGCAUCAUGAACCAGAGGAGAGUUGUGUUUACUCUGAAGUGAAGACAAGAACUGCAGGUACAGUCAGUGUUUGGACUGAAACGUGUCAUCAUGUCAUCACAUCAGCUGUUUAUUUUGAGUCGUUCACAGCAUGUAAUUCAUCAAAUAAUCUUAAAAUUGUACCUUUU